CGCGUAGGCGGAUGACAUAGUCAGAUGUGAAAUUCCUGGGCUCAACCUGGGGGACUGCAUUUGAUACGUGUUGUCUUGAGUGUGGAAGAGGGUCGUGGAAUUCCCAGUGUAGAGGUGAAAUUCGUAGAUAUUGGGAAGAACACCGGUGGCGAAGGCGGCGACCUGGUCCAUAACUGACGCUGAGGCGCGAAAGCGUGGGGAGCAAACAGGAUUAGAUACCCUGGUAGUCCACGCUGUAAACGAUGUGCGCUGGAUGUUGGGUGACCUAGUCACUCAGUGUCGUAGCUAACGCGAUAAGCGCACCGCCUGGGGAGUACGGCCGCAAGGUUGAA
rnacentral:rRNA from 1 species